rnacentral:lncRNA from 1 species
CUCUUUGAAACUCGACGUCCUCGUCGAGGUUAACUUAAUUUAUGAGCCCCAACGAACAAGCAACGCCCCUUGCCCACCUUUCUUUCUCUUCGUUUCUUCACAUCUGUGUUCACUCGCUUCCUUGCCAUUUCUGUCUCAAAAAAUGCAAUUCUACUCAUAAGAGGCUUAAGUUCUUUGCCUUCAACAGCAAUUCCCUCCAAUGCUUCCAGUUUUGUUAGCCUUUCCCGCAGUUCAUUGUUACCACUAGCCAUGUUCUCGAACAAGACCACGAAAUCUGCCACUGCCUGUCGUGUCUCCGCCAUGAACAUGAUCUUCUCUCGAUCUGCUCUGAUACAAGUUGUCACAGGAUCGUUUUGUAUCACUAUAAAAUGGCCAGCGCGGCAGCCAAGCACCGGCUUAACUUCAUGCGAACACGAUCUGCUCUCGAUCUGCUCUGAUACACUUGUGAUGGGCUCGUUUUGUGUCACUCUAAAACGGCCCACGCGGCAGCCAAGCACCUCCUUGACUUCAGCCUGCUCCAACACUCUACCAAAAUUUCAACAACUUUGGACUUUGAUUAAUUUCGGCAGUCUUUCAACGUAGUAAACUUUAGACUGAUUUAGGCAACGAAAAUAUAGUGAAGGGGCAGAAAUAAAACGUGAACACAAGACACACAAUAUACAGGAACUCUUUCCCAACUUUGUAUUUAACUCGAGAAUACAAAGAAAACUCAAACUCAAAGUACACCCCGCUAAUAAAAAAUGAAGAUCACUCUUGACCCACACAAGACUACUCUUAGCCUUAGUGUUUUCACUCUUGAAAACAAGACUUAGGACUCUUCGUAAAUCAGAAAACAUGCACUCUACACGUUUUCCUCUCUAUUAUGAUCUCUCUCACGUUUUUCUCCUUCUUAGGACUUAGGACUCUUCCUAAGUCAGAAAACAUUCCCUCGUCACGUUUUCCACUCUAUUGUGAGCUCUCUCACGUUUUUCUCCUUCCUAGGACAUAGGACUCUUCCUAAGUCAGAAAAUAUGCCCUCGUCACGUUUUCCACUCUAUUGUGAGCUCUCUCACGUUUUUCUCCUUAAGUCACAANNNN